rnacentral:rRNA from 1 species
UGGGGAAUAUUGCGCAAUGGGCGAAAGCCUGACGCAGCGACGCCGCGUGUGGGAUGACGGCCUUCGGGUUGUAAACCACUGUCGGGAGGGACGAAGAUCUGACGGUACCUCCAAAGGAAGCACCGGCUAACUCUGUGCCAGCAGCCGCGGUAAUACAGAGGGUGCGAGCGUUGUCCGGAAUCACUGGGCGUAAAGGGCGCGUAGGCGGCCCGAUAAGUAGGGGGCGAAAUCUUGCGGCUCAACCGCAAGGCUGCCUUCUAAACUGUCGGGCUGGAGCACGGUAGAGGCAGAUGGAAUUCCCGGUGUAGCGGUGGAAUGCGUAGAGAUCGGGAAGAACACCAGUGGCGAAGGCGGUCUGCUGGGCCGUUGCUGACGCUGAGGCGCGACAGCGUGGGGAGCAAACAGGAUUAGAUACCCUGGUAGUCCACGCCGUAAACGAUGGGCACUAGGCGUCGGGGGGAGCGACCCUCCCGGUGCCGUCGCUAACGCAGUAAGUGCCCCGCCUGGGGAGUACGGCCGCAAGGCUGA